GUAGGUACCCUGACGGUAUCUGUGAUAGACGGAGGUGCGACAACUGCCAUCUGGACCAGAUCUGGUAACCAAGGUAACCAGUGGUUCAGCGUCGCCGUCAGCAUUCCUGCCACCGGAAGUUACCAGGUCAUCUUUGAAGGGGUCAGAGGAAAUAAUGUCCAUGGUGACAUUGCAAUAGAUGACGUCAGCAUCCUACAAGGAGCCUGCCCAGAUGGAAAUGUGUGUGCUGCGGUAGGAGGCAGGGGACCGUGUGCCCAGAUCUGCACCAACACUGUCGGCGGUUUCUCCUGCUCCUGUGAGGUUGGGUAUAGUCUUAAUCAGGACCGCCUCUCAUGUAAUGAUGUAGAUGAGUGUGUUCCAAAUGAAGGCAAAGGACCGUGUGGCCAGAUCUGCAACAACACUGUCGGCGGUUUCUCCUGUUCCUGUGAGGAUGGCUAUAGUCUUAAUCCGGACGGCCUCUCAUGUAAUGAGGACGAAUGUGCUUCAAACGGAGGCCGGGGACCAUGUGCUCACACCUGCACCAACACAGUCGGAAGUUACACCUGCUCGUGUAAUGAUGGUUUCAACCUCAACUCUGACGGACAUACGUG